rnacentral:ribozyme from 1 species
AAAUAAGGUACAUGUAAAAAAAAUCCAAAAUCGAUUGUUUACCACUUUUUAUUUUUAUUUGUGUUUUUUCUGUUUUGGUUCGCCUUUUGUUGCUUAAAAUGGACUUUAGGAAGUCUACGAAAAAUGCGUCUAAAGUUUCGGUAUACUCGCAAAAUGCCCAAAAAUGGUAAAAAAAACAAUGAGAACUGA